rnacentral:rRNA from 1 species
UACGGAGGGUGCAAGCGUUAUCCGUAUUCACUGGGUUUAAAGGGUGCGUAGGCGGACAGGUAAGUCAGUGGUGAAAUCUCUGGGCUUAACCCAGAAACUGCCGUUGAUACUAUUUGUCUUGAAUAUCCUGGAGGUAGGCGGAAUAUGUCAUGUAGCGGUGAAAUGCUUAGAUAUGACAUAGAACACCGAUAGCGAAGGCAGCUUACUACAGGAUGAUUGACGCUGAGGCACGAAAGCGUGGGGAGCAAACAGG